rnacentral:lncRNA from 1 species
UUUACAGGAUUCUGUUGUUGUCGUUUUGUGACUCAGAUUUUGCAGAUGUGAAACAUUCUUCACGUAAAGUUUUGAGUGAAUCGAGGACAAAAUUCAGGUGAAUUUGAGAGAAAUUUGAGCAAUGAGAACCUGAUCGUGGCCGAAAUCGAACCAGACUUGUGAGAAUUCUGGUAAAACGGUGCAAUUGCUGUAGAUCUCCCAUACUGAAGCUCCGAUUUCGAAUAGUGAGUAGAUAGCGACUAUCGAAUUCGCAGCGAAAACGAAGCUGUAAUUGACUAAUUUGUUAGUUUUGUGGUUAAUUUGUGAUGAUACUGAGUUAAGGAGGUAGUAAAUACUUUAUAGUAACAUGUUUGUGAUGAGUUUGUGAUGUAAUUGAUAGAAAGGAACUAGUUUUUAAGUAACAUAUGUGUUAUGUUUGUGAUGAAUCUGUAACGCUGCAUAGUUUCAGUUCACUAAUUUGUAGGGUUGGAGAUGAAUUUGUUAAGUUUGUGAUAAAUUGUUUAUGAAUUUGUUAGUUAGUGAUAAACAUCACCAAACAAAAUAGAGCAAGAGGAGGAAGUGAAUUUACCGAAAAGCGCCGAAGUGGUACCAGCGAGGUGGAGAAAUAGAAUCAUCAUCAUGAUCAUGAUGGGCCACAUUGGUGGUGAGCAUGAACACAGCAGCAGAGAGGGAGAAGCAGAAGGCGGAUAACCGGAAGAGGAGGAUCCAGUAAUUGAAGCGGCGGAGGUUGGACUGGGAGACGGUGGACUGGAAAAGAGGCGUGUCGUGAGGGUGCGUCUGGUGGAUGCGUGGCCGUGGUGACGGACUCUCAACACUGCCGUUGCGGACCAUGGUCAGUUCGUGGAGAGUGAAGAAUCAGGGAAAGUGUGGGGAAGUUUUCAUGGUGGAAGUGGUAAAGUGAAUGAAAAGGUGUGUAGCAGAAAGAGUGUGUGUAGAGGAGGUGGUGGAAUGCUUUUUAUUUUGUUUUUCUUACUUUUUUUUUACCUUUUGUUGUCUUUUUAUAUUCUCCUUGAAAUCUUUUGUUUUAAAAUGUUAUUAAAAUAAGUUCUUUUGGGAUUUCAACUUAAUUGUAUACUAAUAAAAGAUGAAGUUGAGUCGUGGGGUAUAG